GAAUAAAGAAGUAGGACCCGAUGC
rnacentral:siRNA from 1 species